rnacentral:snRNA from 1 species
AUUUCAAAAACGACAUAAAU